rnacentral:rRNA from 1 species
AUUGAACGCUGGCGGCAGGCCUAACACAUGCAAGUCGAACGGAUGAAGCGGACUUGCUUCUGCGUUCGGAGGCGGGCGGGUGAUUAAUGCCUAGGGAUCUGCCUGGCAGUGGGGAAUAGCGUCCGGCAGCGGGCGCUAAUAUCGAAUACGUCCUGAGGGCGACAGUAGGGGAUCAUAGGGCAUCACGCUAUCAGAUGAUCAUAGGUCGGGUUAGCUAGUUGGUGGGGUAAGGGCAUACAAAGGGGAGGAUCCGUACCUGGUCUGAGAGGAUGGUCUGGCACACUGGAACUGAGACACGGUCCAGACUCCUACGGGAGGCAGCAGUGGGGAAUAUUGCGCAAUGGGGGAGAGCCGGAUACAGCCAAGCCGCGGGAGUGAUGAAGGUCUUCGGAUUGGAGAGCGAUGUAAUUUGUGGGGAAGUAAAGUAAGAUAAGCAGUGAAUGUGUUGACGGUACCUACAGAAGAAGCCCCGGCUAACUACGUG